ensembl:lncRNA NKAPP1 NFKB activating protein pseudogene 1
ACCUUGGCCGGAGGCCACACAGACCUGGGGAAAUGUUUUGCCAACGUACUCGCAAUAGUUCCCAUGGUUUCCUUUGCUCCCAGCGGUUGCGCGGGCUGGGUUUUUGGAGCAAAGGCAACGGAUACUGCUGAGGCUCCUGAGAAUGUCCCGUUUUCGAGGCUGCAGUAGCUCCGGUGUCCGGUUCUGCAGUGCCGAGAGGGAGGCCUCGGGCUCCGGGCGGGGGAAUGUGUUGCAGUUUGUCCAAGAGCCCCAAGCCCAGCAAAGCCGCCCGUUCCCCGCUGGGGCGCAACUCUCACUGGAACUCUUGUUCUCUGACUGGGGAAUGGAAUGGGCUCAGCCAAGGCUCCCGAAACCAGCCCUGCCGCUCCCAGUUGUGGUCGCAUUCUCAAGAGCGGCUGACUGCGCCGUGGACCAUCACUUUCGCUUCUGCCUGCUCUUGCGCCUAUUGCGGCAACUACUCACGCUCCUACGGGACGAGGAGAGGGAGGUGAAUCCGUGGCAGAGAAAAAUAGUAGUCUAGUCAUUCAAGUGAAAGGUCCAAGAAAGGAAGAAAGAAAAAUUUAUCAAAAAGAAAACACAAGAAGUAUUCUGAAGAUAGCGACAGUGACUCUGAUUCUGAAACAGACUCCAGUGGGGAAAGAAUGGUGAGAAGGAGCAGAGUGAGAUGAAUGAAAUUUGAUCUCUGUCGUUGGCUGUGGUUGCUACUCUUGGACAGUAACUCGAUGACCAUGAAGAAGACUUCCUCAUUUCAUCACAUCCUGCAUGUUGACUAGGAUCACAGCUGGCAGCUAGUCUCCUUCCUUCCAGUUCAGAAUGAAUGGACUAAACAUUUACUUAGUGGAGAGUUAUGCAAAAUUUUGAUACUAUAGAAUGUGUUCACCUAACGGGUUGAGCCAAGAAGAGGCUCCUAAAUCUAAGUCUGUAUGUUAAAUAAAUAGAAGAGACGAUUUAGCAUCUUACAA